rnacentral:rRNA from 1 species
UGACGGUAUCAUAUGAAUAAGCACCGGCUAACUCCGUGCCAGCAGCCGCGGUAAUACGGGGGGUGCAAGCGUUACUCGGAAUCACUGGGCGUAAAGAGCAUGUAGGCGGGUGAAUAAGUUGGAAGUGAAAUCCUAUAGCUUAACUAUAGAACUGCUUCCAAAACUGUUCACCUAGAGUAUGGGAGAGGUAGAUGGAAUUUCUGGUGUAGGGGUAAAAUCCGUAGAGAUCAGAAGGAAUACCGAUUGCGAAGGCGAUCUACUGGAACAUUACUGACGCUCAGAUGCGAAAGCGUGGGGAGCAAACAGGAUUAGAUACCCUGGUAGUCCACGCCCUAAACGAUGUACACUAGUUGUUGCUAUACUAGAUAUGGCAGUAAUGCAGUUAACACUUUAAGUGUACCGCCUGGGGAGUACGGUCGCAAGAUUAAAACUCAAAGGAAUAGACGGGGACCCGCACAAGCGGUGGAGCAUGUGGUUUAAUUCGACGAUACGCGAAAAACCUUACCUGGCCUUGACAUAGUAGGAACUUUCUAGAGAUAGAUUGGUGCUAGCUUGCUAGAACCUAUAUACAGGUGCUGCACGGCUGUCGUCAGC